UGGACGCGGCUUGGGAUGUGGAAUCACGGGAGGCUGAUAUUGGUUGUGUAGCACGCCACAAGGAUAGCUUGGUCUUAAAGGCCUUGCGCGGCAUGUUUCCUCAUGUUGGGACGCAUAUUGGGGCUUGAAUAUGCGCAGGCUAUGAACUUUAUAAAUAUUGUUAUUGAAUCUGACUCUUGCUUUGUUAUUUCGAAAUUUUUUCAUGAUACUUUGGACUUCACUCAUUUGGGUCAAUUUGUUUCUAAGGCCCGUAUUUUGUAUUCGAAUUUUGAUUCUUUAGAUUUUCAUUUUGUUAAUAGGGCAGGUAAUAAUGUUGCCGAUAGGAGUAUUCGCAUGGGCUUAUUAUAUGUACAUAAGAAGUGUUUUGGUGUGAAUUGCCCCCAUAGGCUCCACG
rnacentral:lncRNA from 1 species